rnacentral:rRNA from 1 species
GACGAACGCUGGCGGCAUGCUUAACACAUGCAAGUCGAACGGAAAGGCCCUGCUUUUGUGGGGUGCUCGAGUGGCGAACGGGUGAGUAACACGUGAGUAACCUGCCCUUGACUUUGGGAUAACUUCAGGAAACUGGGGCUAAUACCGGAUAGGAGCUCCUGCUGCAUGGUGGGGGUUGGAAAGUUUCGGCGGUUGGGGAUGGACUCGCGGCUUAUCAGCUUGUUGGUGGGGAAGUGGCUUACCAAGGCUUUGACGGGUAGCCGGCCUGAGAGGGUGACCGGCCACAUUGGGACUGAGAUAUGGCGCAGACUCCUACGGGAGGCAGCAGUGGGGAAUAUUGCACAAUGGGCGGAAGCCUGAUGCAGCAACGCCGCGUGCGGGAUGACGGCCUUCGGGUUGUAAACCGCUUUCGCCUGUGACGAAGCGUGAGUGACGGUAAUGGGUAAAGAAGCACCGGCUAACUACGUG